CCUACGGGUGGCAGCAGUGAGGAAUAUUGGUCAAUGGACGAGAGUCUGAACCAGCCAAGUAGCGUGAAGGAUGACUGCCCUAUGGGUUGUAAACUUCUUUUAUAUGGGAAUAAAAUGUUCCACGUGUGGGAUUUUGUAUGUACCAUAUGAAUAAGGAUCGGCUAACUCCGUGCCAGCAGCCGCGGUAAUACGGAGGAUCCUAGCGUUAUCCGGAUUUAUUGGGUUUAAAGGGAGCGUAGGUGGAUUGUUAAGUCAGUUGUGAAAGUUUGCGGCUCAACCGUAAAAUUGCAGUUGAAACUGGCAGUCUUGAGUACAGUAGAGGUGGGCGGAAUUCGUGGUGUAGCGGUGAAAUGCUUAGAUAUCACGAAGAACUCCGAUUGCGAAGGCAGUUCACUGGACUGCAACUGACACUGAGGCUCGAAAGUGUGGGUAUCAAACAGGAUUAGAUACCCUUGUAGUC
rnacentral:rRNA from 1 species